GAUGAACGCUGGCGGCGUGCUUAACACAUGCAAGUCGAACGAUGAAGCCCAGCUUGCUGGGUGGAUUAGUGGCGAACGGGUGAGUCACACGUGAGUAACCUGCCCUUAACUCUGGGAUAAGCCUGGGAAACUGGGUCUAAUACCGGAUAGGAGCGUCCACCGCAUGGUGGGUGUUGGAAAGAUUUAUCGGUUUUGGAUGGACUCGCGGCCUAUCAGCUUGUUGGUGAGGUAAUGGCUCACCAAGGCGACGACGGGUAGCCGGCCUGAGAGGGUGACCGGCCACACUGGGACUGAGACACGGCCCAGACUCCUACGGGAGGCAGCAGUGGGGAAUAUUGCACAAUGGGCGCAAGCCUGAUGCAGCGACGCCGCGUGAGGGAUGACGGCCUUCGGGUUGUAAACCUCUUUCAGUAGGGAAGAAGCGAAAGUGACGGUACCUGCAGAAGAAGCACCGGCUAACUACGUG
rnacentral:rRNA from 1 species